UGAGAGCUAGCAACAACAGAAGCAAAAUAAAAUCAAAAUGCAUCACCACACUGGCCAAUACACAUUGGAUGGAUAACGAUAAUAAAGUGUGCUAUGUCAGGUCAAUUUUGCUAAAAAAUCCGAAUGGGUAGGCACACACCACUUUUCUUUUGUAACAACAGUGUUAGAGUUCGAUGUGGACUAUGGACAUGCUGCUACCUGCCUUCCUAGCUGCACAAUGGGAACACAAUCCCCCAUAUGAUAAAGCAAGAUACAGAAUAUCCCUAUUACAAAACAGGGUAUGUUUCUAGGUAUUAAUCAUACCAUAUCCUUUCAAAUGGCUAGGUGCUGCGAAACUGAUACAAACAGCAGUCACAGAUAAGUCUCAGAAAAAUAAGUAGCAUUGGAGGUACCAACCAUUAAAGGAAUGGAACUAAGGCUAAUGUAGACGUAUGCCAUCCAGUUGCAAGGCUGUAAGUCUGCAAUUUCCAUAAAAAAAGGUAAAAGGUGCAUGCCAUCCAGUUGCAAGGCUGUAAGUCUGCAAUUUCCAUAAAAAAAGGUACAAGGUGCAAGGUGCAUCAGAGGAAAGCACUAGUGGAUACUAACCAUAACUGCCUCCCAGAAGGAACAUUCUUAUCGACGCUCCAUAUUGAUCAUAACUCCAGUAAAUAAAAGGAAUGCUCUUGACAAAGAGCAAAGAGAGUGCAAAAGAGUUGCAUGAAAGCCCAAUUUUGUCUAAUAAAAUAUGGUUUGUCUGACAACUUGGAGACUCAAACCGAGGAAGUCCCGGAUGUUAAACAGGUGCGCCAAACAGUAAUAAACACAAGCAAAUACUCUACCUUCUGAGUUGCUGAGUUACAUUGUAAAACGAGAAGCAAUAAUUCAACACGAAAAUAAGGUGAAUAAUAUAAAACUUAGCUGAUCAUUUCUAUGUCUAAUGACCUAAGCCAUUGCAUUGUUGGAUGCAUGGUACUCAACCUCUAGAUGAACUUGACUCAUAGCCAUGUGAAUUGUAUGCAUUUCGUCUACGUUUUUUCUUCUUCUGAUAGUUCGGUUGUAUACUAAUACACUGAAGCAUAACACACAUUAUCAAGGAAGCUAUUGAAGCUGGGGCUGAAUGCUCAAUAGAAUUUUAUAACUUCUCGACGAUACUACCAGAGCCUAAGACAAGUCUGUUAGUUGCAUAUCUCCCAAGCUUCCUGAAUACACCAUAUGGGUGGUGAGUGCUGACAUGCUGGUAUGGCAACGAAGAUAAGUAUGAGUACAGAGAAAUGUUACUGACUGAACGAAAACUGUAUAUCUCCACCUUAAAUUGGAUAUUACAAUAGAAGGGCAUAUUCGUCCUAAUAUUUCCUCCCUGACCGUUUCUUCACAAAACGCACCAAAUAUUCUUAAUUAUGUUCCAAAUAAUAUUCGUAUUCACAUUUAGCCCAAGAGAAAAUAGAAAGGGUGAAGGACAGCUGGCUGGGCCCAUAUAGGCCUAUGCUCGCAGCAAACGCGGCCACACGCAAAGAAGCCCUAGGGCUGCCCUUGCGCUUGACAGCCACCACCCAUGGGGCGGAUGCAGCGCCGCCAGGCCAGCGCCUCCACAAGAGCAGUUCCAUGAUGCCCUCUUCCACCAAAAGGGUUGCCAUCUUCCUACGCCGGCGGCCUGGCGCAUCGAUUCAGUGUUCCUUGUGCGUCUCGGCACCGCCGGCUGAUGAAUCACCAAGCCGCUCCUUCCGCCGAGGCAAGCGAAGCCACCUCUUCCUCAUGGCUUGCUGGGUUGGAGCGCCAUUGCUGUCGCAUGGAGCAGGCAUCGCCCGAUGGAUUAAGGAAGCGAUGUCAAGGAUUCUCCAAGGGCAGCAUCGAGGGUUCCCAGGUUAGAUCUGGCAUUGAUAGGGUUUGCUUAGGGUUUAUAGUUAUGGAUCUAAUGGCUUUCGUGGGGUUGGAUCCGGAUCUCUUUAGGGGGAGUAAGGGUGGGAUAUCAUGAUUUCUUAAUUUUGAAAGUCAAAGUUCCCCAAUACUCUUUGAUGCCAGCAUCUCCAGGUAUCGAACACACAUAUGGCAGUUUGGCAAAGUGGUGGGGCAUAAAGCCCAUGGAUAGUUACUGUCAUAUUGUAGAACCAGAAGUCAGAAGUUAGUCCACAACACAAAGGGCAGGUCCUAGAAUGUAUUGUGGAUGUGCUAGAUUAUAAUUUCUUCUAAAAAAAUUCACUUCAUGAUUUUUUGGGGGGCACUUCAGGAGGUAUUGAACCACGAAACAUAGGGAGGUAUCAAAGAGUGAUAUGAGAAAAAAAAAUUGGAAGUCAAAGUUCCCCAUAGCCCCCAACGUGUGUAUUCCCAGGUAUUGGACACACAUAUGGCAGUUUGACAGAGUGAUGAGGGUGGUUACUGUCAUACUGUAGAACCAGAACUCAGGAGUUAGUACAUGACACAUAAGGAAGGUCCUGGAAUAGGUUGUGGAUGUCCUAUGUUAGAAUUUGUUGUAUAUAGCACAUUUCGGAAAUAUUUUUCCUGAAUAAGGCAUUACCGAUAUUCUUCAUCUGAGCAAAUUGCCUUCGGUAGCUUCACAGCCAAUUGCCUGUAAACCAAGGAGGAAGUAGUGUAGGAUCAAGCACAUUGUCUAGCACUUGUUGUAUUUGCCAUGGUAUUCUUGCAAUUAUACCAGCGUUAAAAAGUAUAGACAAUAGGGCAAAAAGAAAUCUACUUCAGAAAAACCAGUGCCAACACAGGUAAUCGAAUCCAUAAAUUAUGAAACAGAUCAGAAAAACAUACUAGUGAUUAACGGAUUGUACCUGCAGUGAAGAAAGCAGAGGUAUAUGUACAAAGUCCUCUGAAAAUACUAGCUUUGCCAAACUAUCACAGCUGCAAACUUGUUGUGAGAUCAAGUUGCAAGCAGGCAUGUUGUUGUCAUCAUAAAUUUACUUUCACACUCCAAACACAUGAUGUGAAAGCCGAAUUGAUCUUCUCUAGAGAUGACAAAUAGAAGAUCCACACUGCAAACCUAGUAGGCUAGCCAUAAGUUUGACAUCUUAGGCACUAAGAAGAAGAUCAAUACAAGGUCAACAGAGUUACAGAUACAUCCACGAGGAGCAGGACUGGCCGGAAUAUGAUGGUACCUGCCGGCAACCAGUGCCUGGCCUUGCCAUCCAUCACCCCUGAAGCGGCCUGCCGCGAUGUACCUGUUGCUGAAGCCCCUGCUGCAUCCUGCGGCCUGAGGUGGGGAUGAUGAGGAGGUCGGUGCGCGAGGGUGGGGAUGCAGGGAUUAGGACGAGCUAGCCACUGCAAGAUCCUAGAGCGCCGGAGGCCGCGUCACGGGGAACCGCCGGCGGGCGGCGGCGGUGCCGUCGUGUGUGGCGGAGCGGCGACGACGGACGGACGGACGGACCGACCGACCGACGAAGGAGCAGGAAAUAAAGACCACCGCACGGGGCGCUUUUUAUUUUCCGCCAGGGGCCACGCUCCCCACCCACACUGAUCCCAGC
rnacentral:lncRNA from 1 species